GAUGAACGCUAGCGGCAGGCUUAAUACAUGCAAGUCGAGGGGCAGCGCAGUGUAGCAAUACAUGGGCGGCGACCGGCAAACGGGUGCGGAACACGUACGCAACCUUCCUUUAAGUGGGGGAUAGCCCAGGGAAACUUGGAUUAAUACCCCGUAAUAUUAUGAAGUGGCAUCACUUUAUACUUAUAGCUCCGGCGCUUAAAGAUGGGCGUGCGACUGAUUAGGUCGUUGGCGGGGUAACGGCCCACCAAGCCUGCGAUCAGUAACUGGUGUGAGAGCAGGACCAGUCACACGGGCACUGGGACACGGGCACGUCUCCUACGGGAGGCAGCAGUAAGGAAUGUUGGUCAAUGGACGCAAGUCUGAACCAGCCAUGCCGCGUGGAGGAUGAAGGUCCUCUGGAUUGUAAACUUCUUUUAUUUGGGAAGAAACCCACUGUUUCUACGGUGGUUGACGGUACCAGAUGAAUAAGCACCGGCUAACUCCGUGCCAGCCGCCGCAGUAACAC
rnacentral:rRNA from 1 species